ensembl:lncRNA
GCUCCUGUACGGUGUACAUUUUAGGACAUCGUCAGGUAUCAGAAAAAAAAUUGUCAGGUGUCAGUUGUCAAAAAAAAAAUUGUCAGGUAUCAGAAAAAAAAUUGUCAGGUGUCAGUUGUCAAAAAAAAAAAAGUCAGGUAUCAGACAAAAAAUUGUCAGGUGUCAGAAAAAAAGUUGUCAGGUAUCAGAAAAAAAAUUGUCAGGUGUCAGAAAAAAAGUUGUCAGGUGUCAGAAAAAAAAUUGUCAGGUGUCAGAAAAAAAAUUGUCAGGUGUCAGAAAAAAAGUUGUCAGGUGUCAGAAAAAAAAUUGUCAGGUGUCAGAAAAAAAAUUGUCAGGUGUCAGAAAAAAAGUUGUCAGGUGUCAGAAAAAAAAUUGUCAGGUGUCAGAAAAAAAAUUGUCAGGUGUUAGAAAAAAAAUUGUCAGGUGUCAGAAAAAAAGUUGUCAGGUGUCAGAACACAAGGUACCAGAGAGAAAAUCUUCCUGCAGGUGGCGCUGUUGUCAUGUCCCACCCGAAUUGAUUUCCAAAUACGUCAUCAACGUGUGACCGUGGGAGAGCGUAAGGUCAUUGACCUCACCGGAGUUUUACCGUGGUUCAGGCUCCUAACGACACAAGGUAAGUUUAACUUUUUCUCCCUUUUGUUCAUAUUUUUGCCACAGUUGUGUUAUAUUAAGUUGCAGUUAUGUUGUGAAAGUUACAUAUCAGAGACGGAAAGCCAGUUUUGUACGAAACCAAAUCAGUACUAUUUUUGUCUGGCUAAUUCAUUCUAGCUAGCGACAGUGGUGAAACGUGAUUCAAAUUUAAACUGUUCAGUAAUUGUUUUGUAUACAUUUCAGCAAAUGGACAAGCUGAAAGCUUACGAGCAGCUUAAAAAAGACCUUGAAAAUGGUGAGAUUACCCAAAAAGGCUUUGAUAACAACAUAAAAAAGCUCCUGACAGCAGAAAAAUCAGAUGACACUACUUCAACACGUGGCAAUGAAUUUCUCAGUGCAGCAGAGGCCUUUGGUAAAGCCAAGAAACUACUACAGCCUCAAGUAAAGAAAAGGCAGUUUCCACUGAAUGAUAAACGUUUGGACCAUGCCAAAUCAUUAUUGAAGGUCAGACUGGCUCCCAUGGAGUGGAAGCCAAGAACUCAUAGAAAGUGUGGACGGUACCAGAAGUUAAUAAUGGACGAAGCUCCACCUCGAAUCAUUCUUCAAGGCCAUGAAACCUAUGAUGAUUUAAUUACCAUAGGCAAAGAACGCUUCUGGCCAGAGCGUACUGAGGGGAGUGAGUUCACUCUUUGCCAUUCUGACGGGACCAGGUGGAGUAAGCAGGAGUUCCACAAAGAAUACGGAACUGUUUCUGAUAUUACACAUAUGUGGAAAAGAACAAUAUACAUCGGGCGACGACAACUGGAGGUCGUGUGUUUGGAUGAUCAAAGUUCCAUCUCAGAUGAAGACCCUGUAACUAAAGUGGGUGGUGAUGAAAGUUGCAGUUUAGAUGAACUUCCUGAAACCCUCAUAGGACAAAGUGUUGCAGAACAGGAUUUCCAUGCAGAAACAUCCAGCUCAGCUGAAUUUGAAACAGGGAGAGUCAGAAAGAAAAGCCAGUCCAAGCAAAGGAAGGAGGAAAAUGUAGGGUCAUCUCUAGGUCCAGGUGGAGCAGUGAGCCAAGACAUGUUACCACAUGCAGUUAUUGAGUCAAAAGAAGCUAUGGAGGGAGCUGAAGAGCUAUCUGAAGGUGCUGGAAGUAGUGGGCUUUUGAUAGAUUUUGCACAGUCUUUCAACCCAACUCCAAAAUCGCCAUCAUUGUAUCUUCCACGUGUUCCAUAUGUGGAAGAGGCUUUAAUUACAUACAGUGAGGACAAUCUACUGGGAGAAGGAACAUUUGGCAAGGUAUAUAGAGGUUCUUUUCAUGGUACUCCAGCAGCUGUUAAAAGGAUCAUGUGUGGCCAACAAGGGAUGGAGGACAGCGACAUUCAUCAUGAGAUAAAUGUUUCACUGAGACUGUCUCACCCCAACAUCGUCAGACUCAUGGCAGUUGCCCGCACUGAGUCCUGCUUUUUGUUGGCAGCUGAAUACAUUCAUGGCGCAACCCUGCAGCAAGUGCUUCACACAGACAGCUGCUUGGUGAAGCUUGAAGGGGAUGAUGCCGGUUUCAUAUCACUGGACUUAUCCAUGGCAGUAGAGUACAUCCAUGCACAGAGAAUCAUUCACCAGGAUAUAAAGCCAGCAAAUGUCAUGGUUCACCACCCUUCUAAAAAGGCAGUCCUGACAGACUGGGGCAUGGCAAACAUAAGAGACACUGUGAUGCUUCGUCAAGGGAGUAAGUUCACUGCCCAGG